AUUCCUCCGGGGAUGCGCGCUCCUCGGUGGACGCGCGCUCCUCUGGGUGUACGGGCUCCCCGGGCGACAGGAGCUCCUCCGGGGUCCCGGGCUCCGCCGGGGAUGCGCGCACCUCCGGGGUCCCGGGCUCCUCCGGGGUCGCGCGCUCCGCCGGGGACGCGCGCUCCUCCAGGGUCCCGGGCUCCGCCGGGGAUGCGCGCUCCUCCGGGGUCAUGGGCUCCUCCGGGGACGCGCGCUCCGCCGGGGACACGCACUCCUCGGGGUCCCCGGGCUCCCCGGGAGCCGCGGCGCCCGCGCUGCCGACCUCCCCCUGCCGCUCCACCACCCGCGGGCCGCUACGACGCGAGGGCGGGGAGGACGCUGCGCCCUCCGCGGCGGAGGCGCGACCCUGCGGCGGGGAGCCGUCCCCGGAGCUGAAGCACAGCGACGCGCCGAGGCUGCAGGGUGUCUGCGCGGCCGGCGGCGGCGGGACCCCGGGCUGGCCGCGCGCCCCCUGCGCCCCCGCGCCCCCGGCCUCGGGCCCGCGCUCCGGGAGGGGGGGCUCCAUGGGCGCCGCGCUCUGGCCGCCGCCGCCCCGCCCGCUCAGCAGCCCGGCAUCACCGGCCCUGCCCCGCGCGCCUCAAGGCCCCGCGGCCCCUGGGCCCGGCUCCCGGGCUCCGCUUCUGGGUGCACAGUCCCGAGGCUCCCGCGAGGUGGGGCCUGUGCGCCCGGCGCGCAGCCCCGCCAGCCUCGGACGCGGGGUCCGUGGGCUUCGCCUCCAGGCCGCACCCCAGGGCUCCCGGAUGCUCCCCCGAUGCUCCCUCCAGGCCGGGAUGCUCCCCCGAUGCUCCCUCCAGGCCGCGAGGCUCCCCCGAUGCUCCCUCCAGGCCGCGAUGCUCCCCGAUGCUCCCCCGAUGCUCCCUCCGGCCGAGCCUUGGCCUCUGGGGGGGGCCCCCCCGCAGGUCGGUCUCCGGUGCUGAGCUACCAGCAGGGCUAAGAGGAGCCAGGGCGCACCCUUCAGUUAGGUCCAGGGCAGGCUGCCUCUAAACCUCAGCACUGGGAUUUUAACCCCGUGCCCGUGCAGCGCACCCCACAGAGCUCCCUUUUAUUUGUAAGACUCCCAUGGGCGACUCGGGUGUACGGUAGUCUGUGUCCAGGCAUCCACACUCUUCACCCCCGCGGGAGGGGCUGUCUGAUUCACUUGUGGAGGGGGGCUGGGUGCUAGGAAAACACCAUGACGGCCGGAGAACUGGCCUUCCUCACUUAGGGGAAGGGGCCUCUUCCUUUGUUGGAACAUCAGGUGUUUCCAUAUGGUGUCACCACACUCUUCUUGUUCCUGUUUGUGGGAGAGAGACAGGGUGUUUGAAUGUGCAUUUUUCAGUGGGGUCAUUCUGUGUCGCUCACAGGGGUCUGCCCCCCCCCGCCCCCCACUUCCAGGUUAGGGACUCACAUGGGCAGGAAAGGGGAUCAUGACUAUUCCCUGCCGGAGAGUUGGAUGAGUGAGACAAACAGAACAACUCAGGGGUCUUAGAAAUGCCCUCUCCCUGUUCCUGCCCUGUUUGUGGGCCCAUGACAGAGACCCCAGUUCAGCCCAGGGCUUUAUUAUUGGUUUUAAAGAUUUUAUUUAUUCAUGAGAGACAUGGGGGGGGGUGGGGGCAGAGACACAGGCAGAGGGAGGAGCAGGCUCCCUCCAGGGAGCCCGACGCAGGACUCGAUCCCAGGACCCCGGGGUCACGCUCUGAGCCGAAGGCAGACGCUCAACCGCUGAGCCCCCAGGUGCCCCCAACCAAGGGCUUUAGAAACAUUGGGUUCCUCCAAACAAAACAGCUCAUUCUGCGGGUAAAAAAAAAAAAGCAGUCAAAUACCAACAAAUUCCUUUUUUCAACAGAAUGCGAUGUGUGUGUGAAGAACGUCCGGUGAGAAAGCAUAAUUAACAUCAUUCACUGUAUUAACAUGUGACAGUUUUCCUACAGUCUUUUCCAGUCGAUUUCAAAUUAAGUUACAACAAAUAUUAGGAGGAAGGAGCUGAGGACUCUUCUGUGGGGUUGGCCUCGGAGGCUCAACCCUGAAAUCUGUGUGAGCCGCUCGUUCUUGGAACUGUGUCUCCGAGAAACCUCAGGGAAGCGACUCUCCACAUGGCCUGCGUGCGGCCGAAGAGAAGCCGGAGCCAAACAAACACAAAACACCACACACGGAUACACGUGAGAUGGGAGCAGACGUGAGCACCUGCGGAUGAAGGAUAAAGUACGACCUUUCCUAAAUUGGCGAAACCUUCCAAGACGCCCCAGCCUGAGAGGGGCCUUAGCAGUCUCACCACGACCGUGAGGGGAGAGGGUUCAGGUGUGUUCUAGCUUCUAAAGCAGAGCGUACGGGCAAGAAAGACGCCAAAUACAGCUUAGUUUGAUUAUUGGGUAGGAUGUGCGAGCCUCUCCAGUGAGUGGAGACCUAAGCAGCCCCCCAGCACCCCUGCUUUCUGCCUCUGCUGCCUGAGACAGUUCCCUGACCGCCCUGCUCGGGGUCGAGCACGUACCCCUGCUUCCCUGCCCUCCCUCCCUGGAGUCACUAAAGAGCUUUCCCGCUAUUUUAGCAGUAAGCGUCCUCAGGUUGGAAACUCAAAACAUUCGAUUCUCUCUCCGUCCCCCCCACCCCCCCCCCGUCUGUUUUCCAGAAAUCUUUAACAGCAACGCCCACGGCACACUCGCUGUGUACGAGGGCGCGUCCCGGGACGCAUGGAAAUGCCGGGCUAUGAAACGCUGAGUGAGCUGGAACCCUGGGCUGCCGGGGCGUGCGGUCCGGGAGGAGGCAGCAGGACACACGGCCCCGGUGUUUACUCAGCUGGCGCCCAGCCCCGCUGCAGUGCGGUCUCAGGGCUGUGCAUCCUGUCCCCAGCGAGGUGGCCGUGAGCAUCCGCCCCCCCCCCCCCCCCCCGGCGAGGGAGUGGCAACGCACCGGAGAGCUGGAAGCAGUGCGUGUGCAAGGCAAGGCUCACGGCGUCUUCCCAAGGACACGGCGGUGCCUUCUCAGCCAUCGAGGCCGUUAGGGGAAACUCUGAUGAAACUGAGAUGCACUAACAUAUCUUACGCAAAAUAUCAUGGACACAGGACAGCGGUUGAGCAGCCGCCUUCAGCCCAGGGUGUGACCCCAGGGUCCCGGGAUUGAGUCCCACAUCCCGCUCCCUGCGUGGAGCCUGCUUCUCCCUCUGCCUGUGUCUCUGCCUCUCUCUGUCUCUCUCAUGAAUAAAUAAAAUCUUUAAAAAAAAAAAAAAAGUCA
rnacentral:lncRNA from 12 species